UUCUACCCCUUCGAGGAUAAGGAAGGGUGCUCGAUCCUCCAAGAAUUGGACGAGCUAAGGUACUUUUCUUGUCAGGCUCACCCAAAUCAUUGUAGACAUCAUAAUCAUAUAUUCUUUCCCAUUCUUUACGCUCUCCGGUUCCAUCUCCUCUUAAAGUUUUCAAUUCUUCCUUUCUAUAGUACACUAAUGGAGCUGGUGUUUCACUUGGAAGAUAUGUCUACAUAAAUUUAAUCAUUCAUAACCUCAAAUUUCACAAACAAUAAUUUAUAUAUAUAACAGUUUUAAUAAAUAUAUUUAACAAAGUAAGAUAAAAUUUAUAUACUUAAUUACCUUGUUGGCAAAGAAAAUGCGACCAGUUUUGUACUUUUUAGAAUUGUAAACCCAUGAGUUGCAAACAAAGUUGAUGGUUUCAUGGUUUGGAACAUUUUCAAGAGUCAAACUCACAAGGAAGAAUUCACCUUGCAUAAAAUUAUCGAUAUAAAAAGCUCCUGGAAUUCCCAUAUCACUGUCCCAUUCAAAAUGAAUACUGAAAGCAGUUUGUUUGUCUCCCAAUGUUGGUAAAGAGGUAAGAAGACCUUCCAAAAAUGUUUGCUUUCCUACUUUUCCUUUUCCAGUUCCUAUUAAAAUGUCAAAUUUUGGAUUCCCAAUUUCAUUAAUCAUCAUUCUAAAUUGAUUAUUUAUAACUAAUAUUCUAAAUAAAAAAUAACACGAAACUAAGGUCAAUCUUAAUGGACUGAGGGGUAAAACUCUUAAAAAAUAUAAGAUAAAAUUACUUACACUUGAUAAAACUAAGAAUAAUUAUUUUUUACUUCUUAAUAUAAGGCCAGUUAUAUAUGAUCGUAUUAAAAUUUUAUAUUACAUAAGACAAUUUCUAGUUGUGACUUUCUUUUAUGUAAUACCCAGCAAAUCUAGGACUCUAGAUCAACGGUGGAUAGUAUAUUUUAAAAAAAUAAUUAUCAAAGUAAAAGCCUAAACUGAUUUUUUUUAGAAAAAAUAUAUUGAAACCAUGCUACAUUGGUCCUUGGAAAAAAAUAGUCACAUAUUUUGAUCCGAAAUCACUUUUCUCUUUACAUCUUUUUUAUUUAUCUUGUUAUUUAAAUAAAUGAUAUCUAUAUAGAUCUACUUUUUAUUUAUAUUUUCAUGUUAUUUUGCUGAUUAAAUGAAAAGUUAUUAGAUUUUUAUGAUCUCGUUUAAGUAUUUUUUUUUGUUUAAAUUAACUUUGAUUCAAUAUAGAUAUAUAUAUAUAUCAAUAACUCCAAUGUCAUCAAUGUUUACAAGUUCGAAGAUAAAAUUAUUUCAGCUACUUUAAUUUUAUCAAAUUUAUAAAUAUUUUGUCCUCUUAUACUAUUAAUCCGAAUAUUAAUCUUAUUUACAAGUUUACCGUUUUUAAUUUUAAGGAAUUUUUAUUUGCGUAGUUCUCAAUUGAUAUAUUUUAUUAAUUUGAAUGAAAUGUAUAUCAUUGUUUAAUAAAAAAUAAAAUUGCUUAAUUAAAUUAUAUAUUAAAAUAGGGAGAGUGAGAAAGAGAAUUGUUAUUACCAUCGUCAGUUGUAGCACUGAUCAACUUGAAAGCAAUAGAACGACCCAAGAAAGAAGUGGCGGUAUCAAGUAAAGAGCCGGCGAUAUCUCCGAUAGCGCCGAUGGCACCACCGAUUAUACCACCGGGGCUUUGAACUGCAGUGAGAGCGUUGAUGUCCAAAACAUUCUUUUGCAUCAACACCACAGUUCCUUUCAGCUUUUCGCCUCUGUUAAAAAUACCUUUCACCAAUGAAGCCAUCAAGCUAUGUUAAUUAAUUCACUUUCUUUGACAAAUGUAAGAAAAGCUCGUGUCUUGUAACCAUGGAGUGUGCUUAGUAUUUAUAGACUAUCGUAGUUGUCAUAAGAAGGUUAGAUCACUAAAAAUAUACUUUUUUAUUCAUUAUUUGACAACAUGUGAAAAUACAUUGGGACACAUCUCUUCAGCUAUUUUUUUUAUUUAUUUAUUAAAUUUUAUUUAUUAAAAAAUGUAGGAUGAUAAAAUAAUGUCUCAACUUAAGUUAGUGAAGAUUUUAUAGUUGAUUGAACACUUACAAAUAAUUUACAUUUGCGUUCUUUAAUAAUAUUAGAGGAUAUUUAGGAUAUCGAAUUUAAGAGAGAGAAUAGGUUGGGCCGAUGUAGAGUUUGUUAGGCUUGUAAAAAAAUUCAAGGUUUAAGUCUAGUUUGUCGGUUACAGACUUACUUUUUAAGUCUGAGUUUGACAUUGAUAAAAGUUGUGAUAGAAGUCUGGUAUUAUAUUAUCUGUUAUCAUACUUAAAAGCCUAAUUCAUUUCAAUAUUUUUGAAUAAAUAAUAAAAUAUAUAUUUAAAUAAAUUAAUGAAUUAAUAUGUCAAUAAAAUUAAGUUCUAUUUUGAUAUUUAACAUUAUAUUUUGAAGAAUAUGAUUUUAUAAAUAUAAAACUUAAAUUAUAUUUUAUAAUAAUACAUUUAAAUAUGUCAAAAACUAAAUGAUAUUAAUAUGCUAAAUUAUUAAAAGUUGAAUAUAUAAUAAAAAAAAAUCAAAAUUUAGUAUAAGAAUUAUACUGGUAAAAAAAUAUUAUUUAUAUUUAUUUAAAUAAGUCGACCUAAUAGCUCAAUAAAUUUAUCAGGUAGUUUGAUCUUUUUAACUAAUCUAUUUUAAAAAAAAAAAGUCUAACAUGAUCUAGACCUGACAUAUACUAUUAAUCUGAUCUAUUUUCAUCUUUAAUUCGAUCUAAUACCUAUUUUUUAGUGUUGUAUUAAUGUUGUUUCUUGUGCAAUUUUAUAUUUAUCGUGAUUAUCUCGUGGCUUAUAAAAUAAUAAUGUCAUUUGCAUAAUUAUUUUGAUUGUUCUUAUAUGUACCAGCUUUUACGUUAUGGGUAAUCAUGAGUCUAUUGCACUAUUGUUAAUUACGUUCUUACCUGUAAGCCGACCAAAAUAUUCCUUUUUUAUUUUUUUUAUUUUUUUAUUUUCAUACUCUUGUUUAGAAGUAAAUUUCAAAUUUAACCCUUAAUCUCACUUAUUCACUAAUUAAUUUAUUAAAGUAUUCUAAUUUAAUAUUUCUAAUGUUAAUCACGUUUUUGUUUUGUUUUAAGGGAUGGGUAACUUAAGAGUUAUCUUUAUAUCAUGGUAUAGAAAAUAUAAUUUAAAUUAUAUUUUAUUUUAUCUUAAAUCUAAAAUAAUGACAUUAUUUAACUAUUUCACAUAAAUUAAAAAAAUUAUUAUUAAUUAAAAUUUUCUUUUUAAUCAUUGAUGUAUUCUAUUUACCACAAAUAUAAAAUAGUGAAUAAUAAAUUGAUAGUGAUUAAUAUAAUUUAAUACUUAAUUGUAGUUCUGGACCCUUUGUUUUUAUCAAUUAAAAAAAUUGAUAUAUUUAUUUUAAAAUUCGACAGUUGUUGUCCUUCUAUAAAAAUUUUGAACUAAUAAAAAUGACAAUUUAAGGUAUUUUAAAUAAUGUGAGAUUCAAUUACAUGAUAUAGAAUCACCUAGAUAAAUUAAUUAUUUAUAUAUGUCAUUAAUUAAAUUAUAAAUAUGAAGAAAAAAAAUUGAAGUUGAAAGUUACAUUUUUAUAGUGUUUUAUUUUGAUUUUAUAAAUGUUAAUCAUUCUACGCCAUUUUAUCAUAUGACAUAUUAUUUAAAACAUGUAACGUGACCAUUUUUUAGUUAAAAAAUAGAGGGUCCAAAUUGUCAACUUUUAAAAUAUGAAAUUAGUUUCGUGAAUCAGUAGAAAUAUGAGAACUAAAACUAAAAUCAAACUUAAUAUUAAUUAGAUAAUACAGUUAAAAAAAAUUAAAAUUACAUUAAAAAAUGAUGUAAUUUAUACAUACAAUAUAAAUAAUUUUUAUAUUAUCAAUCAAUAACACAACCGUUAUAUUAUUAGAGGUAUUUAAAUUUUAUCAAAUUAUCUUUAAAAUUAUAUUCAUAAAUACAUAUGUACUUAUGAUAUAUUAAUAGUAUAAAUUUUUUAGAUAGUACAUAACAAUUAAUUUUGCGAUGUUCAGACGUGUUGACCCAAAUGACAUUCCUACAAAAAUUCUUGAAAUUCCUACAAAAAUGCUUUUAGUCUCUUCACAAACGGAUGUAGGAAUAAUCAUAACCUGAGGUUGCCCCACCUAUCUUAAUUAAAAAUUUAAAAACUAACUUGGUGAGAUUUGAAAAUCUUAAAGCAAAAUAUUAUAUCAAUAAAUAUACAUCAUGUGCGUGUACGGUGUAUGGUAAAUCCUUUUGGAAAGAUUUAUUCGUACAAACACAUAGCAUAUCACAUAUGUUAUUUAGACAUAAUAUAUACUAUUAGUUAAUGUCUUUUUUUCAUCGUAAUCAUACGAGUAAAGAGAACAUAUUAAUAAAAAAAAUUCAAAACUGUAUGUUAAUAUGGUUUUUGAUGUCGAAAUUUAUGUCAAAAUAUUAUUUCUGCAUAGUACAUAUAAAUAAAGAUUAUGAUAUAAUUUUUGAAAAAUUAAAAGAUUAUUAAAUAUUUAUUUUAUUUAUAAGUGUAUGUUUUUUUAGUUUUUCAUAAGUUAUUUUCACCAAAUGUAAUCUGUUAUGUUAGAUAUUAAAGUUGAUACAUCUUUUGAUGAAAAUUCAAACUUCAACAUGUUAAGUGCACAACAAAGCCUGGAUAAAACACAUUAAACAACUUUUAUCAUUUUAAGAGAUUUAUUUCAAAUAUGUCAGCUACAUAUACCAUUUAUGUGAUGGCCAUUUUUAAAUAGUAUAUUAUAAUAGUUUAACUUUAAUUUUUUUUUUUGUGUGACUAUUAUGUUUCCUAUUUUGGAUUAUUUACCAAUAAUAUAAAUUAUGUAAAUGUUAUAAAAAUGUAUAAUUGAUUUUGGAAACAAAUAUUAUUUCCAUAAAUAAAUUGAAGUUAUCAAAUAAUAUUUUGGGACAGAAACGGUAGUAAUUAUUAUAAGCAUGUUUUACAAAAUAAUUUUUUUAAUAUUCUAAAUAAUAAGUUAUUGAUGUAAUUAAUUUGAGGUUAAAUAUAUCCCCUUAAAUUUAAUUACAUUAAUUAAAUAGUGCAAAUUUUAUAAAACUAUUUUUGUAUUAAUAAUUCAUUUGUGCCAAAUUAUAUGUCAUUUUUCCAAUUUCACAUAAAUUAAAAAAUAUUAUCAAUGUUGUAUAAAAAAGAGAAAUUAUGAUUUGUUUUAUAAAAUAUCGUUCAUUAAUGAUAUAAGAACGAUAAAUUUAAAACAUUGAGAAAAAAAAAAAACAAAGUAAUACAUAGUAAAAAGUUUAAUAGCAAAAGAAACAUUAAUAAUUUAGUGAUACCGGAAAACAAUAUCAUUUAGAAAGAAAUUAUUGAACACUUAUCUAACCAUUAAUAGUCGAACAUAAUUAAUCAAAUAUCAAAUAAUUAUAAGCAAUAAAAAUAAUUAUAAAAUUCUAAUUUGUCAAAAUAGCAAAAGAAACACAUCAUCGUUUUUCCUCUUAACUUCAUAGUAUCCAGUGCAACAUCCUCAACUCUCACUAUAUCGACAUAUGAAAAUUAAAGCGAAUCUUAAUUCUUUCAAACCUCUCUUUGAAUACAUGAGUGACAUUGACUUGAAUCCCCAAAGAUUAAGUUCACCCUUUAUAUUUUUUUUAACCUAUUAAAUAUAGUUUUUAUUAAAUAUUUCAAUGGUUAACAUUUGUCAAAUAAAAUAACAAAAAUAACAAAAUCAUACAGUUAUUUUAAAAAAUCAUUUAUGUAAUAUAGUAAAAAAGAAAAUAUUAAUGUUUUAUUCACUACACUAUUAUUUAAAAUAAUAAGGACCAUAAUUAUAACUCAUACUAAUAGAAUUUUAACACGUGUAUCACACGUACUUAUAUCAAUGGUAAUCUAUUCUGCAUCAAUUACCAUUAACAACAUAAACAACAUAACUUGUAUAAAACAAAUACUAUAAGUCAUUCAGUUUAAGAAAUAGAGUUCAAUUUAUUAUUUGAUAUUGUCACCCAUUUAAUCAAUCACUGCUCUUUUAUUCAAUUACAAAUAUGAUUAAUAUUUUAAAAUAUCUUGAAAUUAUUUUUUCAAUUGUGUUACUUUAAGAGCAUCCUAAUUUUGGUACUUUAAGAGCAUUCACUUAAGUUUAUCUACUUAUUUUAAAUGAUUUUGAUGAUUUUGAAAGGAUUUUAUCAUUUUGUAUAACUUUUUUAAAAGAGAUUUAAAAAUAAAAGUUUUAAAUAAGAAAUUAGUUUGAAUAGCUUCUAUUUUAAGUAUUUCAUCAUUUUAUUACAAAUUUUUUUAGAUGAUAAAAUUUCAAAAAUUGUUUAAAAUAUGAAGCUAUUAAUUUUGAGUAGUUUCUCAUAAAAAUCAUUUUCAAGAUGUAUUUUUUUUUAAAACAAUAAUUUUUUUAUUUUUUUUAAAUAUUUAUAUUAUUAAAUAUUAAAAUUAUUAUUUUUAAAUCUAUAACAUAUAACUCUUAAACAACUUUUAUUGUUUUUGAAUAGGUUUUCAUAAAAAUCAUUUUUCAUUUAAUCUAUAACAAACAUACCAAUAUCUUUAUUGUGUAGAUUACUUUUUCAGCGCAUUAAUUACCACUUUUUCCAUGCCAUAUUGCAGAAUUGUAGUACUGCUAGCUAGCUACGUACAAACCUUGGUGUUCUUAAUUCAUUCAUUGAAUCCAAACAUGAAGGUUGCAUUUCAUAUUACAUGUCUAACAAAUACAAGAGAUACAUACAUCAUAUGUAGUUCUUAGUAAAGUAAAACGUAAGAGUGAACAACCAAAGAUACAAAGCAAACAUGACAUGAUUGUGAUGAGGGAAUUUGAUUGCUACUCAUAUUUUAUUCAAUGCCGCAACACAACAAACCAUCAACCUCUUUAUAUGGAGAUACUAUUGGGAAUGUCUCUACAAGUCAAUCCUUUAUCACUAGAAGGAUAAAGCAAAGUGUAAGGCAUUUUCACUAGUCCACGUCGGUUUCUCAAUGACUCAUCAUUGUUCCUUUGAAUGAGCAUUUGCUCAAUUUUUGCCAACUUCUUUCCAAACCUCUUGAAAGCCUCAAUUGGUUGUGAAUCAGAAGUCCAAAGAUCACCUUUAACUCUUUGUCCAAGGUAUACAACAUAUGGAUAGUCCUCUGUUAAAAGACGAAUGUCGUGUGGAGAAGUUGAUCCUCAAUAGCCACUCUUCUAGAUAACAAGCAAGGAAGAUCACUACUAAAAAUUUCACUUUUAGUGACCGAUUUGGAGACUAAAUUUUUUCGAUCACUUUAGAGACUGAAUUAGAGACCAAAAUACAAAACUGUAUAAAGAACCAUUUUUUUGUCACUAAAUCGGUUGCACAUGAUAUUUAGAGACUGAUUUAAUGACUUAAGUUUUAGUGACAAAAAAAUCGAUCUCUAUUAUUUAUAUCUUCUUUUUAAUUAAAAUUGCUGGCAAAACUUUUAUUAAUGUCUAUUUUUGUUACAACACAUAUUUUUAUUACAUCACAUUUUUCAUUUGCGGCAUAUUUUGUUUUAAUUGGACAUAUCUUUGAUUUUGUUUUGUCUCAUCAGUUUCUCAUAAGAAAUCAUCUCAAAAUUUAAUUGAUUUGUGGACAUGAUUUUGUAUUUAAGUGUAUUACGUGUUUUUUUUUAUAAAUGAAUGAACAUCAAUGUUUUAGGAAUCACUAUUAGAAAAACCGAUUUUAGCGUCGGCCAAAAGCCCACACUAAUGUUGACUUGGCGUCCGAUUAGCGUCGGUGUCGGCCUAGGCUAAAACCGUCGAAGUCAAUAGCGUCGGUCAAAUACCAUCCCAAAGUAAAUGCAUCCAACACUAACAAAUAACAAUACCUUCAAAUUAGAAUCCGCUAGUUUAUAUCCUGAAAAAAUUCUAUUGCGUCGGAAUUACGGUCGACAAAUUAGUUAGCGUCGGCUACUCCGACGCAAUGGUCAACUAAUAAAGUAAGUGGACUAUUAAUAAAAGUCAACUUUGUUACUAAUAUAGCGUCGGGCAUGCCAAUGCUGCGAUCAACAAUUGAAACGUAAACAACAAAGAACAAAUCAAAUAAAUGUAGUUAAAUAUGUCACCACAAGCAUGAUAUAAUUGAUAAUGCAUAAAAAACACUUUAACAAAUGCCUAAUUCUUUCACCAGGUUCCAUUAUGCUUCAUUAUUAUAUACUUAUAUCAUAAAUCCCAGAUAGACAUCAAACAGAGAAAAUAAACCUUGCCUUGCAAAACGAGGUAAAGAACAACGUCAAAUUCUGUAUAAAUGCCUAAACAGAGGGUGCAAAAAAGCCAAGGUUAGACAUUGCAAACAAUUCAGGAAAUUGGGCUUCUUAUUGAGAUGAUGAAUACUGUUGCUUAUUUUUUAAAACCACAUGUAAUAAUAACUCAUGUAAAUUGUUGGUUUUUUAGAGGAAUGAGUACGCAUACAUGAAUGUAGUAUGUGUGUGACCCUCUUAGAUUCAUUAAGAUUAAUGUAUGAAAACAUUUAAAAGAAUAAUGAAAUAGAUUGCAGUAAAAAGAGCAUUACCAUUGCUCCCUUCAACAAUUCCUGCGGGUUCAGAGAGCUGCAAAACAUUGAUAAAUAUGUUUUAACAUAUAUCCAUGGCUAUUAGGUAAGUAAGACUUCAUUUGUUUUGAUUUGUUAUGUUGAUAUUAAUUUGCAUGAGCAUUUACAUUAAGUCGCUUGCACAUGAAAUAUUAAUUACUAAUAGAAACUUGCAGGCUGACCAGUCAAUCUUAGUGUCACAAGAACUAUACAUAAAUAAGAAUGAGGAGAGAAUUUUGAGAAACUUCAGCAAAGACAGAAUUUGGAAAUUGCACAUAAAGACAAAAGGAACAUAUAAAAUAUCAUAACAUAUAUUCCCCUUUGAAGUAUUACACACACACACAAAUACAAUCAAUUGAGCCAUGCACUCAGCCCCACUCAACUCCACCUAGUAAAAAGUGGUUUGCUUGUUGUUGACAAUGAUAAAGAAAUCUAAUUAUAGAAGCAAAAUUAGUACUGCAAGGCGCAAGCUAUAAAAGGCUUCACAAAUUGUCCGAGAAGAGAGGAUCACCACCAGCUAGCAAACGAGAUCCUCCUGUUUUCAGAUCAACUCUUGAUCAUUGGUACAGUAAGGACAUAAUUCGAACAACACAACCAUAAUUCGAACAGUACAGUCAAACCCUAAACCAAAACUGAACACAAACGACUUAGAUGGUUAAGGUUACAAUUACAUCGAGAAUGGAUGACAGUGAGAGUGAGCCUGAGAGACGAAAGUGAGAGUGAAUUUGAGAGACGAGAUUGAGACGGCGAAAGUGAGUCUGAGAGAUGAGCGGACGAGAGUGAGAUUGGGGGUGAGGCUGCGAGAGUGAAUGUGAGGCGAGGGAAACGGUGACACGGCGACGAAAGGGUGAGAGUGAAGAGUCAAGGGCGAGGGUUAGGGAAAAAUUAAUGAAGUGGGGAUAGGGAAAAUGGGGUGGGUGAGAGAUAAUAGGAAAAAAUAAUUUUAAUUUUUCAAAUAAGAUUAAAAGAUUUAAUUUUACAAAUCAGACAAUGUAGCGCCAGUCGACCUAAACGGCCAUAUUUUACUUAGCGUCGGCUAAGCCGACGCUAAUGUUUAAGCGGAAAAGAAAUUAAUGAACAUCAAUGUUUUAGGAAUAAAUGAACAUCAAUUUUAGGAAUGUUUGCAUAUAUUUGGGUUUAGAUAUAAGUCAACUAUAUAUUGUUUGAUUUGAUUCUAAAGAUGAAAAAAGGAUUUUGGAUAAGGAGCAGCAACAACCAUUCUAUCAUUGCAAACUCAUUUGAGUUUGUUAAGUUGCCAAUUGUGGCUAUAUAUUUUUGAUGAUUCAUUUGUAUUUAAAAUGAUUUGUUCAAUAUAUUCAGCAAAUAAUGCAUAUUAUUGGAAUUAGCACUGAACAAAGCAUAUGUUAUUUUGAAAAUGAAAAAAAUAGUGUUUUGAGGAGGAACUAUAAUUUCUCACCCGUUUGGAAAUUGUUUAACUUCUUAUUUCUCAAUCUAACACACUCACAUAUUAGGGCUAUUCUGUACGUGGUGUUUAGCUCUCAUUUAUGAGAAAAUUUCAAUGGCAACUUUAGGUUGUUUCGUUGGUUAGUAUGAUUGACUUAUUUAUGUUACAAACAAUUUUGAUUUGUUUUUUAUUGAAAAGCUUCUUUUCUUUCGUAUUGUUUUGUUCACUUGUACAAUGAUUGACUAUCUAUGUAUGCAUCUACAUUACCUAUAAAUCUUAUUUGGAUUUUAUCCAAAAGCGCUUCAUUUUCCUAAGGUUUAUGUGAAUUUUAGUUGCUAAAAUAUUUUCAUUGAAUUAUUCACUAAACUAAAAUUGAUUAGUCACUUACUAAUAUUAUGUAAAGUUUCAAAUAUUAAGAUUCUUCUAUUGUUGGUUAUUUUUAUCAACAACUUACAAGAUCACUUUUUUUAUUUAGGUCCCGCUGAGGAACUUGUUGAAAAACCGUUUGUUGUCAUAAAUUGGCCACAAUAUUCAAAUUUUAUAUUUUUCAAGCUAAAUACCCUAUCAAAAAGAAUUAUGAGAUAAACACUUAUUACAAAUAAACAUAAAAAAUAUGAGAUAAAUAUUUAUAAAAGAUAAAUUUAAAAAGCGCAUGAAUAAUAUUUAUCAUUAUUACUUUAAAAAAAUAUAAGACAAAUAUUUAUCACGAAAAGUAUAAAAAGCACGUGAUAAAUAUUUAUCAUUGAAAAAUAUAAAAAAUACCAGACAAAUAUUUAUUACUGAUAAAUAUAGAAAUACAUGAGACAAAUAUAUGUUAUUAAUAUAUAAAAAAUAUAUGACACAUAUUUAUCACCGAUAAAUAAAUAUAAAUAAAAAAUACGGAACAUAUAUUUGUCAUUGAUACAUAAAAACAACAUGAAAAAAAUAUUUAUCACAAAUAAAUAUAAAAAACACAGGAUAAAACUUUGUCACAGAUAUAUAAAAAGAAAUAUGAAAAAAAUAUUUGUCAUCGAUAAAUAUUAAAAAUACACACAGAAUAUAUAUUUUUCAUCGAUAAAUAUAAAAAAUUAUGGGACCAAUAUUUAUCAUUGAUACAUAAAAAAAAAUACAUAACUUAUAUUUGUCAUUAAUCAAUUUAUAAAAACAAUUGUGACAAAUAUAUGUCAUUAAUACAUAAAAUAAGACAAGAAAAAAAAUUGUUGAUAAAUUUAAAAAAGCACAAAACAUAGGGCAAAUAUUUAGUAUUAAAAUCAUACACGAUACAAAUAUUUGUCUUUAAAAAAUUAGUUAAAAUUAAUGUUAUUUUUAAUAUCUGAUACAUAAAAAUAAGAAUAAUUAUAAUACCGUAUUUAUAAAUAAAAAAAUAUACUCAAGACAAUUGUUUGUCAUAAUUAAUUAAUGAUUUAAAUAUAUAUUUGAUCAUCAAUUAUAGUAUUUUUUUAUUUUAGUCCUCAUAUGUUUUUUUGUUUGAUUCACAUCUCUCCAAAUACAUAUUCAUUUUAAAAUGGAGGGAGACAAUAAAAAUUAGAGUUUUCAGUUUUAGUUUCCCUUUAAAAAAAUAAUCAAAAAAUUAUUUUUUAUAAAAAAAUUUAUUUAAUACAUUGUGUCGUCAACUUAAUAUUUUAAUUACUUAAUGGUGUUAGAAUUUUUUUAUCAAAAAUUGGUCUAAAAGACUAUUUUAAAAUGAAUAUGUAUUUGUAGGAAUGUGAAUCAAACAAAAAAAUUUACGAUAACUAAAAUAAAUAAAUAAAAUAUUAUAAUUGUAAGGACUAAAGACGUAUUUAAAUCUUAAUUAAUUAAUUAAUUUUAAUUUAAUUAAUUAAGUUUAACUUACAUUUGUCUUUUUUGCUUAAUUUAAUUGGUUAUGCUUCAACAUUAUAGUAUCGUGCUUCGAUUAUAUCAAUUAAAUUUUUUGAUAGUAAAAUGUUAUAAUUUAUUUUAACAUUUAUGCAAAUAACAUAUCAUAAUUAUUUAUAUAAUAUUUAACUAUUCAUGUUAUAAUUAAGUGUUAUGUAUUUUUGUCCAAAUGACUUGUCCAAAUAACUGUGCCCAACCAAGUAUUUUUCUUUGUGCAUAGAGUAAUUUGCACUGUUGUAGUUAUUGAGUUAUUAUUUGUUUUGAAGUGAUUGAGUUAUUAUUAGUUAAGUUUAUUUUACUCAAAACUUUGUUAUUUGUUAUUUUAUAAGCAAAUAUAAAUAAUUAGUUAGAUUAUAUUAAUAUAUGAGAUCAAAUUUGAGAUAUUUUGAUUGAAAUGUUAUAUAGUAUAUAUAUAUAUAUAUCCCAUUAUGUUAGAUUAUUCAAUUAAUUAAUUAUUAUAAAUUAUGGCUAAUUGCUAAUAAAUAUUAAUUAAUUAUUAUAAAUUAUGGCUAAUUGCUAAUAAAUAUUAAUUAAUUAAUGAAUCUGUGUUGAAUUAUGUUUCUUAAAUCCAAUGAAAAGACUAUCCUUAAUAUUUUAUAGAAAAUUUGUCUUCGAUAGUAUAAAGUUGACCAAAAUACGUUACUAUAAAUCAACUUCUGUUGAUGUAUUAAGCAUCGGAGAGCAAAAAUAAAGGUGGAGGAAUACUUACCGACCUUUACACCAAUUUAUUUUUGUGUAAUAUCUUUUUUAAAAUAAAAUUGAUCGAUUUAAUAUUUGUUGAGAUAAUAUUAAUUUUAAAUAAAAAUUUAUUAAUAUUAAAUUUAAAAACAGUAGAAUAUAGAGGUGGAAAAAUCAAUCGAAUCGACAAUUUGUUUAUAUAAUUUAUCGAUCUCAGUUUUAAAUUUUAUACAUAAAAUACUAAAAUAUAUAUGUAAGGGAUUUUCGUUUUUAAUUUCAAGAUCCCUAAAUGUCUCUUACUAGAAUUAUUUUUUAUUUAACUAUUUUUCUAAAAGUUGAUUGAAAUUUUAUGUUUUUAUCAAUACAAGAACAACAUAUUAAUUUUUCACGUAAUUUCAUGAUAUGGAUUAAGAGAGAUAAUUUGUUUUUAAUUUUAAAAACUCUAAAAUGUCUCCUUGUUGUUUAAUUAUUUUUCUAAAUGUUAAUUGAAAGUUUAUAUUCUUAUGAUUAUUGCACUCAAAAUAUUAACAAUUACAUGAGUUUAUUUUAAAAUUGAACUCAAAAUAUUAACAAUUACAUGAGUUUAUUUUAAAAUUGAGAGAACUUUAAAUUCCAAUUUAACUGAUUUAAAAUCAAAAUCAACAAUAUAAAUAUUUACGAAUAUAAAAGACUUACUUAAAAAAUAAAAAAGGACUAACGUUGAAAGUUAAAAGAUAAAUCUAUUAUAUUCAUAUAACUUAAAAAACUACAAUAUAUAUUUGCAUAAAUAAAUUUAAUAAUAUAAUAUUAUUACUUUUUAAGGUAAAAUAUGAUUAGUUAGUAUUACUUUCACAAAAGAAAAUGAAAAUGAGGUGUAUUAGUGUAUGAUUAUUACCUAACAAUAUAUAUAUUGGCCAAACAAUUGGUUCCGGAAAAAUCAUAAGGGUGUAUUAAUACUUUUUCAGCACUAUAUCAUUUUUCUUCCAUACAAUAUUGCAGAUUAAUUCGCACUACUACCUUUAUAAAAGCAUAAGUAUUAUUCUAUGGUACCAUUUUGUAAGUUUUAUUUUUCAAACUCUCUAACACAUCACACAUGAUAUUGCAGUCUCUUUAUAACCUUUUACAUAGAAACUGAAUAGAAUGUAUAUGCAAUAUUGAUGCUUACGGUAGGACAAUUCACUACUAGAAAAACAAGCUUUAGCGUCGGCCAAGAACCCACGCUAAAAACAAAAGGCCGACGCUAAAUAUGAUUUAGCGCCGCAGCAGAGGCUCAAUCUAAAAGGCUCGAAGCUAGUCAUUCGCGUCGGCUUCUUGUCAUCGGACGCUACAAUCUAUGGCAGAAUGGCCGAAGCUACAUGUUGUGUCGAUGAAACCGACGCUAAAUAGCGUCGGUUAGGCCUACGCUAACAUUGAAAAUCCCAAAAAAUAUAUCGCGAUACAGAACCACGUAAUAUAAAAGCUGUGUUAAUAAAUCCACAACGCAAAUUACAAAUAGUUAUUACAAAAAAAUAUUAUUGCACACGAAAAAAAGAUAAAAUAAAUAAUAGUAUAUCAAACUUAGAUGAAAUUAAGGUAAUUAGAGAAUCGAAUGAAUAGCAUAGUCCACCUUAAAAAAAAAAAACGAUAAGCAAUUAAAUCUAGAUUUGAAUUUUGUCAUUUUUAAUUAGAACAUUGUUCACUUGUUCUAGAGUUCUAUAUAAAUACAAUGUGUUUUUCCACUCUCAAAUUCCUUCAAAUAUUACCACCAUUUCAUUAUAAAGGAAAAAAGAAAGUAUUUUCGGUCUAAAAUGAAAAAGUAUACGAUAAGACUUACUCUUAUUAAGGGGAUUAGCACAAGGUCUUACAAAUUCUCUAAAAUUACCUUACCCUCCAAGAUCAAGAAGGAGAAACUUUACAAACAACUUAAAAGUAAGUUUUUGAGGCCAUUUACUCAUGCAAAAUACAUAUAAACCUCAAUAAAAAUUUCACAUAAUCCCAUCUCAUAAUAGAACAUAAAAACUAAAAAAAUAAAAAUAACAUAGUACCUUUCCUUGAUAAAGAACAAAAGGUAGGAGAAUAAGAAAUGCAGCACAGGGAAAAGAAAAUGAUAAUGGUAAAACAUGUAAGACCCAAAGAUCUAAGAUAACCCAUAAGCAUAGCAUUCCCAUCAUAAACAAAUUGCACACCAUUUCCCUCCAAUUACAGCCACAUCUUCCAUCAUACCAUAACUCAUCAUUUUUACUCAUUUCUUAUAAUUCCAAAUUCCAAACAUGAGAGGAGUGAUUUAUAUUUUAGUCUAUCCUCUCUUUUAUAUCUCAAUUUCAAUUCCCUCUAUACUCAAUAAUUCUCUCUAUCAUAAAUCAUAUAUUAAACUAAUAACAAGAAAAUGAAUAUGGAACUAAUCAUGAGAGUAUUGAUGAUGUAUGCAAUCCAAGUCUCCACAAUAAAAGUUCUAUUAGUUUUGAAGUCUAAGGUCUACAUCACUAACACAUAAUCAACUAGAAGACAAUAAGUGCGAAUUUAAUACUUACAAGCUCAAGUUCCACAUCAAUAUGAGCCUUGUGGCAUGAGGUCUGGAACGCUCUUCUUCUUGGUGAAGCUCGACGAUCUUAUUUUGAUUGGAGAUGUUCUUGAAUUUUACGCCUUCCCUGUAAGCUUGAAGACAAAUCCAAGCUUCCUCACCUAGAAAAAAAUAUAUGAACUUAAGAAACAAAUCAAACAUGACAAUGUAAACAAUUUGUAAACUAGACAUAGAUUACCAAUGAUAAAUAAGGGUAACAAUAAGAACAAUCAACUUGUAAACUAGACGAUGAGAUCAAUAAUCUAUUACAACUUACAAGAACCUCAAAAUAUAGAUUAUGCAAGUAUCAACCAAUAAUUGUGAGUCAGAAUGCUUCCAUCAAUAAUCUAUUGCAACUUACAAGAAGCAAACGUGCUUUUCUUAUAAUGACACAAUAACUAAAUCCCUAAGUUACAUCUUUGUUCACAUAAGGUAAAAUUAAAAGGUAAGUUAUCAAACAUGCAAAUAAGGAACAAAAAAGCUUAACCUUGUUCAAUAUAAACAUUAAAUUUAAAUAACAAAAGAAAAUCAUAAGUCUAAUAAUCAUCAAUCUCAAUCCAAUGCUCAAAAUAUACUUUAGUUCAAUCAAGGCAGGUGCAGCUAAAGGUCUUACUGUUUCCAAAUCACACCAUAAUAAUGGAAAUAAUGAUCUUUUCAACGUGGGCUUCAUCGCUAGGUCUGCUGCAAAGAUUCAAGCUAUAGCUAAUAACAAAUUCAUCCUUCUACAUGAUGAGGACAAUGCAUGUAGCUCAAACUAGACUGUAAUUGAGGAUGAACUAGGGAUUAAUGUUAAUUCUCAAGGCUACAUCCCUCCAAAUGACAGUACCCUGUAAGUUACAGAGAUAUCAGAAACACCUUUGGAUGAUAUGACUACAAGAUUUGGAGUUGCACCCUCCUUAACAUUUUUUAGGAACACAAGGCACAAUUGCACCUUAUUAAGCCACAAUAAGAACAACAUUUAUCAACAUACAAAAUCAAUCACUAACAACAAUCAAAUGUAAACUAACCAUGAUUAUGAGACAUCACAUCCAGAUCCACUAAUCUGCAAUUCAAUCACAUAAUAGUUUCAUAUUUUUCAGACUUCAGUAAAAAGAACAGAACAUGGCAAUAUCAAAAAAAAUUAGGGUUCAAGGAUCAAAGUAGCUUACCUGAUGCUGCAAGAGUUGUGUGAGGGCUUCCUAGAAGAGAAGGGAGAAGUGGUCAUAUGACUGUGAAUAGAGGUCAAAAAUCAUAUUUGAACAAUGUAACAAUAAUGCUUUCUAAAAUAUGGGGUUUAGGAUUUUAUAAAAAUUGAGAGAAAAUGAAAGAUUAGAGUUUCAUAAAAAUUGUUCCUUUGAAACUCAAACUCGAGACUUUAGGAAAGAAAAACUCACCUUUGAAUAAAAUGAAGACAACAGUGGAGGAAGAAAAGUAUGGCAUGGCAGUGAUAAACCAAAACUUUCUGCAAAGAAAAAACUGGAAGGAAAUUAGAAUAGACAAGAAUGAGGGAAACGAGAGUGAUGAGAAUGAAUGAGGGAAAGAAAGGAAAAUCGUGAAGGUUUUUUUGGUGUGUGGGGCAAAAAGAAAGGGAUGAAGGGAGGAGAAUGGAAGGAAGAGAACUGGUGGAAAGAGACGAGAGUGGACGGUUAAAACCGUAUUUUCUAGCGGUUAUUAUUACCUAGAAUAUAACCCGGGCAAUACUUCAUAAUUCUAUAAAUAAGUAGUUAUUGUGAAUAAGAUUUUAAAAAUAAUAUAAUUUAUUUAUUUUAUUUGUAGAGUAAUUUUUUUAAGUGGAUUUAGUAGAGUAAUUAUUAUAUAUAAGUUGACAUACACACAUUUGAGAAUAAGUAAAAUGUUUUGUAUAGUGAAGAUCAUCCUACAAAUAAAAUUCAUAAAUUAUAUUUAUUGUUAAAAAUCUUAAAAAUAUUUUAAUAAAUAUUAAUAUAUAUAAUUAUCUACCACAAAAUUAUAUUAAUCAUGCUCUUCUUUUGUGUUGUCAAAAUAUUGUUAGAAAAAUAUGAAAAUAAUUUUAUCAUUUAGUAUUCAUUUCAUUAUAAUCUGUAAAAAAAACAAAUAAUUUUUUAAUCUAAAUGGUAAAUAGUUUUAUCUCAAAGACACAAUAAUAACACUCAUAUAAAGCUGAAUAUGGACAAUAUUAUUUGUCUUUUGAGAAGCCAACAUACGAUCAUGUCGUAGAUGAGAUCACAUAUGUCUCUAAAAACAAUAUUAUAACUAAGAACAAUCAAGAUUUUGAGAAAAAUGAACAAAUAAGUAUAAUAUGUUACAAAAUACCACUUACUCAAAAACUAUUUGUACAAAAAAAAACAAUUCCAACUAUAUCUACUUCUUUGAAAUAAUUGGGUUGCAAAGAGAUUUUCUUUUGAGUUGAUAAAGUGGAGUUGUGAAAACUUAUAUGCAUAAUGUUUUCUCAUGACAUUGACAAAUCUUAAAAGUUAAUAGCAUAAGUUGCGAUAUAUAAGUUAAUUGCAUGAUGCUGCGAAAUAAAAGAUAAUUGCAUAAGGUGUGUUAAAAUAGCUACAAGAAAAAAAUAUAUUGACCAUUUAAAUAUUGGAGUUUCAGUUACCAAAAUAUAAUGUCAAAAUAAAUAUUAGAGUUUCAGUUUUGUUUUUAAUAAAACACUAAUUGUAUAGAUUAUUUGAAGAAGUAGAAUAGUAUACGUAGAAGAAAAAAACUUAUAUAUUGAUUGUACUUAAAUUUGUAACUCAUGACACAUUAAUAGUUAUACAUACUAUUAUAUGUUAAAUAAUAAUAAUAAUAAUAACAACACAACAUUUGAUAAAGAUGUAGGAGUCUAUUUUAAUAUAUAUAAUAGAUAAAAUGUGUGUUAAAGCAAAAUGAAAGUUGAAUAAUAAAGAGAAUUUAAGCGGAAAAACCAUUUAGAUGUGGCACAUGAGAUUUUUGUUGAGGUGACAAUAUUUGAAUGAAAUGACAUAAUAUUAGAUGAUUUUUAAGUGGGAGUCUAUUUUAAUUUAAGAUUUUUGUUAAAGGGACAAUAUUUGAAUGAAAUGCCAUAAUAUUAGAUGAUGUUUAUGUAGGAGUCUAUUUUAAUAUAUUGUUUAUCUAAAAGAAAAAGGUUUAAAAACAUGUAAUGAUGGAAGAAGAGAUAGAUAAACCUUUAAAAUGAUUCAAUAUAUUAAUUGAUAGUUAAAACAUACAAAGAGGAAAAAUUGUUAUCAACAAAGAGGAAUAAUUGUUAUCAAUAAUGAUGAGGAAACACCGUUAAUUAUCAAUAAUGAUGGAGGAAUAAUGAAUGUCUAAUAAUUGAUAACAUAUUUAUUUAUUGUGUUGUAAUUUGUAACUUAUAGCAUAUGAAUAAUUUUACAAAAUAUAUAUGAAAAAAAUAAAUUGCAAGUAUGAUAAUAAGAAAGAGGAAGAAUCUUGUUAGACGUGCCACAUCAAUUUUUUUUUUAUGGGACAAUAUUUGAAUGAGAUGACACAAUAUUUGAUAAACACGAAGGAGUCUAUUUUAAUAUAUAUUAUAGAUACAUUUUUUUAAUUAUUAUAUAUAGAUACAUAUAUAUCACAGAUCUAGUUUGUUACAAGGUAAAACAAACACAAUAGUUCUUAUUGAUUAAAGUAAAACAUAAUUAAACAAACAUACAUGGUAAUGUAACCGUAGAUAAUGAGUGAGGGAAUUGAAUUCCUUCUCAUCUGUUAUUCAUAUUCAUAGUAGAAACACAACAACCAUGACCUUCUUUAAAUAGAGAUACUAUUGGGAAUGCCUCUAAAAGUCAAUCCUUCUUCACUAGAAGGAUAAAGAAGAGUGUAUGGCAUCUUCACAGGUCCAUUUCGAUUCCUAAGUGUCUCAUCAUUGUUCCUUUGAGUGAGCUUUUGCUCAAUUUCAGCCAACUUCUUUCCAAACCUCUUGUAGGCCUCUAUUGGUUGUGAGUCAGAAGUCCAUAGAUCACCUUCAAUUCUCUGUCCAAGGUAUUGCUCAUCAGAAGCAUGCCUUGACAAGACCUCUAUAAUGGUCAGGUCAGUAAGGGUAUCAUUCUUUGGUGUGAUUGUCCUCAAAUAUGUCUUUUGGUAGUUCUUAGCAAGUUCAUCAUACUCAGGGGAUCCUUUCUCAGGCAUAUAUCUCCUACUUUUAGUUGGUCGGUUAAGGAUAUAUCCUCCAUAUGGAUAUUGUCCAAAAUUAACAGCUGCAUGAAGUGCUGAAGCAAUCCAUAUGAGAAUGGUGCAAGCUUCAAUCAACUCUUUACGAGUUUGCAUCUUAAACCACCAUGUAGCAUUCUUCAAGUCACCAUGACCAACCUCUACAAGUUCUUUCCAAAAUGCUUGGAGUUCAGAAUCUUGUGCAAUAGCAUCAUCUGACUUGUAGUAAAAAUUCACAUAUUCUUCAACCCAUGACUUGAUAGCAGCCCAUAUUUCUAGUCCAUCAGAAGCAUAAGGGUAGUCUUCUAUUAGAAGGCGAAUACCAUAUGGUGAGGAUGGAUCCUCAACAGCCACUCCCCUAUAUAACAAGCAAGGAAAAUAUAAUUAAAAUAUAAAAAUUAGAUCAAUAUCUUUUUUAACAAAUUAAUGGAGUGACCCUUUUGUAAGGUUACCUUUUAUGUAAUUAAAAUAUAAAAAUUAGAUCAAUAUCUUAAACCACAAAUUAAUGGAGUGGCUCAUGGAUGAAAUAUUUUGUAAUUAAGAUUACCUUUUGAGUAAAUCAUAAGGUAGUCCUUGCUCAGUGAAAACCCAAUCCUUGUAAACAGUAGAAGACAUUUCCAAAGCAUAUCCACCCCACAAGAAUGUUGAUUCUAUAAUACCUUCGGCAUUGACAAGGACAUUUCGAGCAAGUGCAUUUAUGUUCAUUGUAUCACGAUAAUGUGGAAGUAAAAGUUUAUGAAUAGGAUGAACCACACUAAGAUGUCUAUUUGUUGCUAUGAUGAAUGGCUCAACAACAGCGUGAGUGUUCAACCUGUCACAUAUAUAUAUUCAUGAAUUACUCAUGGAUAGAUAAAACAUGUUACAUUGUACAAACAUCAUUAAUGAAACUCAUACCAAUGGCUAACAAGUUGGUGAUAACAGGAGUCAUUUACAACAACAUAAGCCUUGGAAAGUAGCCAAAUUGAAGCUUCAACACCUUCGCUUGCCGGCAAGUAUACAUUACUAACAGGACCAAAACUAUCACCUUGAGGAUGUGGCCUACUUAGCUCAAUUGCCAAUGGCUUCAAUGUUCCAUCAUUUUGCAAGAAAAGAAUGGUUCUUGUAGCAUAGGCCUUAGUGUCGGUUGCAUUUAUUUUCCUCAAAUAUGGAAAAAGUGGAUCGUGGUGAUCAAGUAUAUACAAUCUAUUAUUUUGGAUGGCCUGUUAAACAAAAUAUAAUUUUUUUGAUGUGGUUCAUUUGAAUAAAAACAAUCAAUUUUGCUGAAAAAGAAAAAUAUAAUGAAUCCUUUUGGGGAGUGUCCAAUUGUCUUACCUCUUCUACGGUGACACCACUCAUGUUUGGCUCUAAGUGUUCUUUGGUUAUUGUGCUAGUAUUAUCACCAUAGAUUUGACUAUCUAACUUGCUCUUUGGUGGGAACUCCUAAAUUAAUUGUAGCAAAAAAUGAGGUUAAUUACCAAUUAUAAUUAUAGGAUGAAAAGAGACAAAUUAUAAUGUUAACUAUGAAGUUUACCGUAAGUAUUUUGAUGAUGUGUGGAUUAACACCAGCAAUCAUCUCCCUUGCAAAUUCCUCAUCAGUCAUCCAAGCAGAAUGAUCCACUAUUCAUGAUAGAAAAAUUUUAAUAGAACAUUGAACAUCUUUUUUAUGAUUUAGCAUGUAAAUAUAUUUACAAGACUAGGAAUUUGUGAGUAAUAUAUACCUUGAACCACUUUAGGUGGUGGGAAUUUAAGUGCCGAUUCACCAUCACUUCGGAAAAGUUCAGUAAACAAUGGUAUUGGGCUAAUUUCACUUAAUAUAUUAGUGGGAAGCUUAAUUCCACCAUCAUAGAGCGAGCGUACAUCUUCAAAAGUGUUAAAUUCAGGUUCAUUGAGUUGUAAUGUAACUACAGAUCUUAACCGAGGUAUGAUAUUUUGAGAUGCUGAUUUGAGUAUGUAAACAAGAAAAUCUGACGACUUCAAGUGACCAAAUGAUUCAUCUCUUGGAAGGUAAACAACGUCGCUCCGACUCUCACUCUUAGGAUCUGUUCACGUAUAAAAUAACAAAAUAUGUUAUAGAAACUACAAUAAUAUUUUUAAAAUCACAAGUAGAGUAAACAUUGUAUGAACAAAAAGACACAUUGUUCUGCUCCAAAAAAGUGGCACCAUGUCAGUAUAGUUAGCCUUAAUUUCAAUUAUGUCAAGGUACCAUUAAACAACCUGUAUUGGUCACUAGUAACAAAAAAACAUUACAUAAAAAGUUACAUUAAAUACAAUUUCACAUUUUAGUACAAUAUUAUUGGAUUUGUACUAAAAUAUACGUUAAAAGUAAAAUAGAAGGCUUAACCUUUGCUAGUUGGUUUUUUGCCAGUUCUACCCCUUCGAGGGUAAGGAAGGGUGCUCGAUCCUCCAAGAAUUGGACGAGCUAAGGUACUUUUCUUGUCGGGCUCACCCAAAUCAUUGUAGACAUCAUAAUCAUAUAUUCUUUCCCAUUCUUUACGUUCUCCAGUUCCAUCUCCUCUUAAAGUUUUCAACUCUUCUUUUCUAUAGUACACUAAUGGAGCUGGUGUUUCACUUGGAAUAUAUGUCUACAUAAAUUUAAUCAUUCAUAACCUCAAGUUUAACGAACAAUAAUCUAUAUAUAUAACAUUUUUAAUAAAUAUAUUUAACAAAGUAAGAUAAAAUUUAUAUACUUAAUUACCUUG
rnacentral:lncRNA from 1 species